GCCUGUUUACCAAAAACAUCACCUCCAGCAUUCCCAGUAUUGGAGGCACUGCCUGCCCAGUGACAAACGUUAAACGGCCGCGGUAUCCUGACCGUGCAAAGGUAGCAUAAUCAUUUGUUCUUUAAAUAAGGACUUGUAUGAAUGGCCACACGAGGGUUUUACUGUCUCUUACUUCCAAUCAGUGAAAUUGACCUUCCCUUGAAGAGGCGGGAAUAAACAAAUAAGACGAGAAGACCCUAUGGAGCUUUAACUAGUUAGCUUAAAGAAAAAAACUUUACCACCAAGGGACAACACUAAUCUUAAUAAACUAACAGUUUCGGUUGGGGUGACCUCGGAGAACAAAAAAUCCUCCGAGCGAUUUUAAAAACAAGACACACAAGUCAAAUUGAACUAUCGCUUAUUGAUCCAAAAUUUGAUCAACGGAACAAGUUACCCUAGGGAUAACAGCGCAAUCCUAUUCAAGAGUCCAUAUCGACAAUAGGGUUUACGACCUCGAUGUUGGAUCAGGACAUCCUGAUGGUGCAACCGCUAUCAAAGGUUCGUUUGUUCAACGAUUAAAGUCCUACGUGAUCUGAGUUCAGACCGG
rnacentral:rRNA from 1 species